rnacentral:rRNA from 1 species
GAUGAACGCUGGCGGCGUGCCUAAUACAUGCAAGUCGAGCGAACAGACGAGGAGCUUGCUCCUCUGACGUUAGCGGCGGACGGGUGAGUAACCCGUGGAUAACCUACCUAUAAGACUGGGAUAACUUCGGGAAACCUGAGCUAAUACCGGAUAAUAUAUUGAACCGCGUGGUUCAAUAGUGAAAGACGGUUUUGCUGUCACUUAUAGAUGGAUCCGCGCCGCAUUAGCUAGUUGGUAAGGUAACGGCUUACCAAGGCAACGAUGCGUAGCCGACCUGAGAGGGUGAUCGGCCACACUGGAACUGAGACACGGUCCAGACUCCUACGGGAGGCAGCAGUAGGGAAUCUUCCGCAAUGGGCGAAAGCCUGACGGAGCAACGCCGCGUGAGUGAUGAAGGUCUUCGGAUCGUAAAACUCUGUUAUUAGGGAAGAACAAAUGUGUAAGUAACUAUGCACGUCUUGACGGUACCUAAUCAGAAAGCAACGGCUAACUACGUG